UGAACAAAAGUCACCUGCCACUGAUGCUGGAGAACAAAACACCCUCUUCCAGAGCGCUGGGCAUCUUUCAGACUCUGUGGUUUAGCCAGAUGCUUUUUCCUUUCGAUGUCGAUUUUUUUCUGUUUUGUGUUUUGGGUAAGGGAAGAAAUGGCUUUGGGAUAAAAUAAAAGAGGUCUCCUUUUCAUUGUGAUUUUGAGAUGCAAUGUGGGUUUAUCUCAAUUACCAAUGGAAACAUUUAGUGUAGUGGUAUUUUGUGUACAUAAGUACUAGAGGCAUGCAUUCCCUGUGGCCCAUGCAUGAGUGCUCUUGGACACCUCGAUACAUGUUCAUUUUUUUUUAAAGCAUGUAGUUUCCAGGUCAUGAUAUAUUGAGAAACUGGAACGGAACUGACUCGGCCAAACUCUCAGAGAACAGUCUGUGACUGUACAGGAUUCCAAGCCCUGCUUGUGGCCUCCAUAGUAUAUGGUUGAUUCUGAGUCACCGCAGAUUACAGGGAAGAGUCCGUGGUGGCUUUGGUGUGUGAUGGGGGCUAAUGUGGUCAAGGACCCAGGAAGUCCCAAGUCUUGCUCUGAGAAUCGCCUGCCCUCUCUGGGCCAUGGGAAACGGGUGAAGGCAAGGAAAAGGAA